AUUGAACGCUGGCGGCAUGCUUUACACAUGCAAGUCGAACGGUAACAGGCCGCAAGGUGCUGACGAGUGGCGAACGGGUGAGUAAUGCAUCGGAACGUGCCCAGUCGUGGGGGAUAACGCAGCGAAAGCUGCGCUAAUACCGCAUACGAUCUCUGGAUGAAAGCGGGGGACCGAAAGGCCUCGCGCGAUUGGAGCGGCCGAUGUCAGAUUAGGUAGUUGGUGGGGUAAAGGCCCACCAAGCCAACGAUCUGUAGCUGGUCUGAGAGGACGACCAGCCACACUGGGACUGAGACACGGCCCAGACUCCUACGGGAGGCAGCAGUGGGGAAUUUUGGACAAUGGGCGCAAGCCUGAUCCAGCAAUGCCGCGUGCAGGAAGAAGGCCUUCGGGUUGUAAACUGCUUUUGUACGGAGCGAAAAGGCUCCCUCUAAUACAGGGGGCUCAUGACGGUACCGUAAGAAUAAGCACCGGCUAACUACGUGCCAGCCGCCGCAGUAAUAC
rnacentral:rRNA from 1 species